AAGUCGUAACAAGGUUUCCGUAGGUGAACCUGCGGAAGGAUCAUUAACACAAUUUUACUGUGAUAAAUCCGUUGAAUUCUCACAAAUUCAAUGGUAUCCACCCCAUUAUUGACGAACUUUUCUAGAUGUUUCAAAAACAUAGAGCUUAGUCUUUAUGUUUUUAACAUUCUAAACCUCUUCUAUAUCCACACAAAUUUAAACCCCUUUUACAACAUGUCUUAGACUGAAAUGAAAAUUUUCUAUCAAAAAAUUGAUAAAAACAACUUUUAACAACGGAUAUCUUGGCUCUC
rnacentral:misc_RNA from 1 species